AUAUUUCGGACAAAUUCUCCA
rnacentral:miRNA from 1 species